rnacentral:rRNA from 1 species
GAUGAACGCUGGCGGCGUGCUUAACACAUGCAAGUCGAACGGAAAGGCCCAAGCUUGCUUGGGUACUCGAGUGGCGAACGGGUGAGUAACACGUGGGUGAUCUGCCCUGCACUUCGGGAUAAGCCUGGGAAACUGGGUCUAAUACCGGAUAGGACCACAUUUUGGAUGGUGUGGUGGAAAGUUUUUCGGUGUGGGGUGAGCUCGCGGCCUAUCAGCUUGUUGGUGGGGUAAUGGCCUACCAAGGCGUCGACGGGUAGCCGGCCUGAGAGGGUGUACGGCCACAUUGGGACUGAGAUACGGCCCAGACUCCUACGGGAGGCAGCAGUGGGGAAUAGUGCACAAUGGGCGCAAGCCUGAUGCAGCGACGCCGCGUGGGGGAUGACGGCCUUCGGGUUGUAAACUCCUUUCGCUAGGGACGAAGCGUUAUGUGACGGUACCUGGAGAAGAAGCACCGGCUAACUACGUG